rnacentral:rRNA from 1 species
GACGAACGCUGGCGGCGUGCUUAACACAUGCAAGUCGAACGAAGUGGCGAACGGGUGAGUAACGCGUAAUCAACCUGCCCUUCAGAGGGGGACAACAGUUGGAAACGACUGCUAAUACCGCAUAACUAAGGGAGGGGUUGGGUCUGAUUAGCAUGUUGGGGGGGUAACGGGCCACCAAGGCGAUGAACAGUAGCCGGGCUGAGAGGAUGAACGGCCACAUUGGAAGUGAGACACGGCCCAGACGCCUACGGGAGGCAGCAGUGGGGAAUCUUCCGCAAUGGACGAAAGUCUGACGGAGCAACGCCGCGGGAGUGAUGACGGCCUUCGGGUUGUAAAGCUCUGUUAAUCGGGACGCGGUACCGGAAUAGAAAGCCACGGCUAACUACGUGCCAGCCGCCGCGGUAAUAC